AUGGGUGUCCCCAAAUUGUCCCCGAGGUGUCCCCGGGGUGUCCCCAAGGUGUCCCAGCCCAUCAGGGGGUGUCCCCAAGGUGUCCCAGCCCAUCAGGGGGUGUCCCCAAGGUGUCCCAUCCCUGUCCCCUCCCUGUCCCCUCCCUGUCCCCUCCCUGUCCCACCCUGUCCCAUCCCUGUCCCCUCCCUGUCCCAGCCCUGUCCCAGCCCUGUCCCAUCCCUGUCCCAUCCCUGUCCCAUCCCUGUCCCCAUCCCUGUCCCAUCCCUGUCCCAGCCCUGUCCCCUCCCUGUCCCAUCCCUGUCCCCAUCCUUGUCCCAUCCCUGUCCCAGCCCUGUCCCCAUCCCCGUCCCAUCCCUGUCCCCAUCCUUGUCCCAUCCCUGUCCCAGCCCUGUNNNNNNNNNNCCAUCCCUGUCCCCAUCCUUGUCCCAUCCCUGUCCCAGCCCUGUCCCCUCCCUGUCCCAUCCCUGUCCCAUCCCUGUCCCAGCCCUGUCCCAUCCUGUCCCAUCCCUGUCCCAUCCCUGUCCCCUCCCCGCAGUCUGGACCAACGUGGAGCCGCGCUCCGUGCCGGUGUUCCCCUGGCACUCGCUGGUGCCCUUCCUGGCCCCCAGCCAGCCCGACGCGCCCCCGCAGCCCCCGGCCGGCCUGCAGCCCGUCAGCCACCCGCCCCCCGCCGCCAGCAAAGGUGAGCCGCGCACCUGGGGCGCCUGGGGGCACACCUGGGGACACGUGGGGUACACCUGGGGACACCUGGGAUACACCUCGGGGCACCUGGGAUACACCUGGGGGCACCUGGGGACACACCUGGGGGCACCUGGGGACACCUGGGGAUAUCUGGGGACACCUGGGGUACACCUGGGGACACGUGGGAUACACCUGGGGACAGCUGGGGAUACCUGGGGACACCUGGGAUACAUCCUGACACACCUGGGGACACCUGGGGACACAUGGGAUACACCUGGGGACACCUGGGAUACAUCCUGACGUACCUGAGAUACAUCCUCACACACCUCGGUACACCUGGGAAGGCUGGGACACACCUGGGACAGACCCUGACACAGCUGCGACACACCUGGGACACACCUGGGUACACCUGGGAUACAUCCUGACACACCUGGGGACACCUGGGAUGGCUGGGACACACCUGGGCACACCUGGGACACACCUGGACACACGUGGGGCACACCUGGGCACAGCCGUGCCCCGCCCGCUGACCCCGCCGUGUCCGCAGAGCCGCCCGAGUCGGCGGCCGUGGCCCCCGAGCCGGGGGGGCCGGGCCAGGAGCCGGGGCGCUGCGGGGGGGCCACGCGCCCGCCCAGCCCCCCCCCCGGCCGCGCCCCCGGCCCCGCCCCCCGCGGCCACGGCCCCGCCCCCCGAGGAGGAGCCGCCCACGGGGGGGGCCCGGCCGGACAGCGAGAACGAGAGCGACCACGACGACGCGUGAGUGACCCCUGGGUGACCCCUCUGUGACCCCUGACUGAUUCCUUCGUGACCCCUCCGUGACCCCUCCGUGACCCCUCCGUGACCUUUGUGUCACCCCUGUCCGUGUCUGCCCCUGAGUGUCCUUGAGUGUCCCCGUGUCCGUCUGUCCCCAUGUCCGUCUGUCCCUGUGUCCGCCUGUCCGUCUGUCCCUGUGUCCGCCUGUCCGUCUGUCUCUGUGUCCAUCUGUCCCUGUGUCCGAGUGCCCACCUGUCCGUCUGUCCCUGUGUCUGUCUGUCCCCGUGUCCACCUGUCCGUCUGUCCGUGUGUCCGCAGGUUCCUGUGCCCACCUGUCCAUGUCUCCAUCUGUCCCCGUGUCUCCGUCUCUCCCUGUGUCUGUCCGUGUGUCCAGCUGUCCGUCUGUCUCUGUGUCCACCUGUCCCCGUGUCCACGUGUCCGUGUGUCCACCUGUCUGUGUGUCCAUCUGUCCGUGUGUCCGCAGGUUCCUGUCUCUCUGUCCGUCUNNNNNNNNNNUGUCCAUCUGUCCGUGUGUCCGCAGGUUCCU
ensembl:lncRNA